GCGAUGCACGGUGUUAUGCGGUAUUUAUAUUAUAAUAAUGUUGAAUUCACUUCUUUCAAUCACAUGCGCAAUAUAACAUCUAAAACAAUUAAAAUAGAGACAUAUUAUUUAGAUUAAAAUAUCAAUCAAUAUAUGAGAUUUAAAUUAAAACGAAAGCUAAUAAUCAUUACCAACUAUUUUUUUUUCUUCAGUUGAAUUCAAAAUAUCUUGGAAUGUCAUAAAAUCAAAAUGGUUCAAUGGAAUGUGUGGAGCAUCGAUCUUGGUAAAUGUAGUAGUGUGCGAUGCACGGAUAUUAUGCGUUGUUUUAUAAUGAAGCGUCAAAAAAUUAUUUGUAUAAAUAGUAAAUUAAUAAUUGAAACAAUAGAUUUUAUCAAAAUAAUAUUAGCAAUAAAACAUAAUUAAAAAUAUUAACAAUAUGAAU
rnacentral:lncRNA from 1 species